rnacentral:lncRNA from 1 species
UGGUGUGGUUUGUCUAAAGGGGCUGGUACAUAUAUAUAGAGAGAAAAACUCUUCAUAUCCACAUCAACUAGCAAUAUGGUACUAAUUGAUGAUGUUGCAACCUCCAUCUUUACUAAUAGGCCUAAUUAAUUAUUAAAGCCCAUUAGUAAAUAAAAACAUGGGCCUUGAGCAUUGGAGAAAGAAUAAGAGAUUUAUUAUUUUCGAAAUUUUUUAAUUUCAUGGAUAAAAUAAUUCCAGAAAAGUCUAGAAUUAUUAUUUAAACUAUGAAAAAUAUUUCGAAAGCUCUGAAAAUUUGUAGAAAACUCUCAGAGACAUUAUGGAAUAUGAGGAACUCAAAUAAAGUAUUUGGAGCCUAUGAUAAGAUAAUUUAGAGCAUCUAAAAAUUGGAUUAUGCUCAACGGAAAAGGCCAGAAAAAUUCCCAAGAAGUUUAUAGAGAUUGUUUAACGGAUGAGGAACUUGAAGGAGUGAUUUGGGUUGUAGAGAAAAGAUUUUAGGAAGCUUAAAAAAAAACUUGAACUGAAAAUCAAGGAAAUUUUAUUGUAGAUAAAGAUAAAGACGUACCGAUCAAGGAAGACCGUUCUACUAAACACAAUUUAAAGAUUUUGCUCACUCUCAACACACAAAGGAGCAACAAACUGUAAUACCUGAUUUAAGGAUAAAACCAGAUAUGCACCAUAUGUGAGUCUUAGAAGUCAAAUCUCACAUAUAGUUACAAAUAAGGGGUAAUAUCAAAAGACAAUGCAUAAAUAUAUAACGUACUUAGUAUGAAAGAGAUAACCUUUGAUAGCAAACAGCGGAUAAAUAGCUCCAACUUCGGGUAUUAACUUCACUCUACAGGAUCCAACUGACUGGUUGAUCACAAGCCUAACACUCCUCCUAAAGUAUGGGGGAAAUAGCAAGAGUGAGUCCAUGUCGAACUCCACAAGUAUAGCAACUAGAUUGUAUAGCUCCCACAAUCUCAUGAUCAAUGUGACAUAAAUUAUGUAAAGCAUUAAACAAUAAACAAUGAGCAUAUUUAACACACAAGAUUCAUCACCCUUAAUGUAUAUGUCCCCAAGGCCGCUUCUGAUCGUGAGCUCGGCUAGUAUACUAGUUUUAACACUCUGCAGAGGUUGCACAUCUUUACCCAUGAGUCAUGAUUUACCCUUUCGCCCGAGGUGAUCAGCCUCUUAACCCACUUCCAAGGAAGGUCGGCAGGGAUCACUAUGAAGCCUUUCAAAAGUUCGUCUAACAUGUUAGGGCCGCAAGGUUUCCUUUGCGCGCAGAUAUAGAUACCUCCCUUCCAAAUGGCACAAUGACGCGCAGCCUAUACACAUAAGGAUAGAGGCUCGCACUAUACCCAAAACGGUUCAGCCCCUCCGCCCUUUUGGGUAACCUCUAACAAGCUAGAAAAGGUCUUCAUACUGAGCUAAAGCCAGAGCCAUUAUAGCCCUUAUGGUUGCACUGUUGUCCCGGGUGAUCACGUACAGACAAAUUAUCAAAUGGCUAAAAAGUUAUUUUUAUCAUUUAUUACUUAACAUUAAUCUAGUCACAGGAUCAUGAUCACAGAAUUAAAAUCCAAAUGUUAUACUUGCCUUGAUCCAAUUGCUCUUGCUGAUCUUGCUAUUUGUCCAAGUACUGAUCUUGUUUGUUGUAGCACGCUUGGUCACUCACGAUUGUUCACCGUCUAUUCCCGAUCAUCAAUCAUCAACACACAAAUAAUCGGGACCAAACAUACACGAAGCAAACAAUAGAAAUAAAUUAAAACAGUACACCGAUCAAUAAAAGAGUUUUGAAAACUAAUCUACAUAUCGUUGCGAGCGUACGGAUAUAAAAAGCAUGCUAAUCGGAGCUACAGUUCAAAAGAACGACUACCGAGACUUUUAUAUCAUUUAAAGAAAAAACCUAUAUAUGCUUGACGUAUUAUUUGAGCAAAACUUUGUGAAAAGUCAUUUAGAUCAUAUUAGGCAAAACAUAAUUUAAUUCAAAAGUUAGCCUAAAAUUACUCAUAUUUUAUUUAUAAACAAUGUCAUAUAAUUUAAUCAAGUUAAACUUUAUUUUUGCAAAAGAAAGAUUAUAGGUGAAAGCAACUAAUUGAGUUUAUCACAUAUGCAACGUGUUUAACUAAGCAACUUAAGAUUUAGAAACACAUUUUAUAAGCAAUUAAUCACAUUAAUAUUUUGGUCAUAAAUUACCGUCUUAUACAACCUUAUAGCUUUCAAUUAUAAAUCUGAUUAUAAAUAUUAAUCAAUUUAGCAAUUAAAUUAAUAAAAUAAUAAACACAUGACAUAAAAACAUUAGCAUUAGUGUAUAAAUUAUGAAUCUAAGAGACUUGAUUCGGUAGAGAAUUGAAGGUUCAGAGGUUCACGUAUGAAAGGAUGCAUGUAUUGAAAGUGCGUAGAUGGCUGGCGGCUAACUAACACCAAAAGAAGGGAUUUAAUACACAUAUGCUGGAGAUAAAAGAAAAUAAUAAAGAUUGAUUAAUCUAUGUGCUAAUUCACGAUUGCUAGAGCAGAUAAUAUAUAGAGCAUAAGAGAUAGAUGAUUAGAAGAGCUUAUUAUACACAGAAGGUGUACCAGGUGGACGUGUUGCUCUGUCCUGCUUGCCGUACACGUACGCUGGCAUGCACGAUUGGCCUUGGCCUUUGCUAGUUUACUUGGUCGUUGAAGAUAUGGAAGAAAGUCGCAUGCAGGUCAGCAUACGGUGCUGCUCCGGUCGCCGUUAAGAUGCAGAUCGGCAAGAACGAUAGCUGGACGAUGGUGAGCUACACAAAGUGCAUAUAUAUACUCAACGUGGAGCUAUAAUUAGCAAGGCGUCAGGAUAUAGAAAUUAUGAAGUUGCUCACCCAAGGUAUAUAUGUGAUAGGGAUGACGGCUGGACGUAGAGGAGACUGUCAUGUCUUAAUCUUUCCAUGACAAAAAAGAUAAUUUUAAUUUACUACACGAGAGACUUCCCAAACUAGGGACGUCUCUGACAGUAAUUGUGGGGUGUUUUGCCAAAGGGGUUGGUACAUAUAUAUAUAGGGAGAAAAACUCCCCACCUCCACGUCAACUAGCGAUAUAGUACUAAUUGAUUUGCAACCUUCAUCUUUAUUAAUAGGCCUAAUUAAUUAUUAGAGCCCAUUAGUAAAUAAAGGCAUUGACUCUUGAGAUCAUGGGCUUGAGCGUGAGAUAAAAUGAAAGAUUUUAUUAUUUUCGAAAUUAAUUAAUUUGGCGAAUAAAAUAAUCCUAGAAAAGUCCAGAAUUAUGAUUUAAGCCAUGAAAAAUACUUCGAAAGCUUUGAAAAUUCAGAAAAAAUUUCUCAGAGAUAUUAUAGAACAUGGGAAACCGAAUAAAGCUUUUGGAGCUCAUGAGAAGAUUGUUUGGAGCAUCUAAAAAUUAGAUCAUGCUCACAGAAAAGUGAGAACAGAAGCUGAAAAAUUCUCGAAAAAUUUGUAGAGAGUGCUUGAUGGACGAGGAACUAAAAAAAGUGCUUUGAGUGACAAAGAAAAGAUUUUAGGAAGCUCCUAAUAAAAAAUUAAGCUGCGAAACAAGGAAUUUGGUUAUAGAUAAAGAUAAAUACGUACUGGUCAAGGAAGAUCGAUCUACUAAACGCAUUUUAAAAACUUUGCUCACUCAACACAUAAAGGAGCAACAAGCCAACAUCACAUCAAAACAUAUGCACCAGUAUAUAUGCACAACAAUAUUGCUAAGGCUUAUGAUAAAUUUUAAUUUAAUGAAAAAUAUUAUUUUCCUUAUAUUUUCAUGAGCACAAAAUACAAAAGUGAAUAAAUUUUCAUCUAUUUUGAAAAGAGCAAAUUUUAGGGUGUUACACAAACAAACAUCACAUAAAACAUAUGUACCAGCAUGUAUGCACAACAACGUUGCUAAACCCUAUGAUGAAUUUUAAUUUAAGGAAUUUUUUCAUUUUACUAUAUUUUCAUGAGCACAGAAAUACAAAAUAAAUUAUUUUAGCGUUAUUUUGAAAGAAGCAAAAUUUAGGGUGUUACAGCUAGUAAAAACAUGUCAUUUUAUAUAGUAGAGAUUUUGUAAAACUAGGUUAUCAUCACAUUCCUCGCAAUGGAAAAAGAACUGCCUUUUGAUAAAUGUGAAAUUUCUUGGCUUUUUUUUCACAGAUAGGUAGCCAACCAAUAAUGUGAAGUUUGCUAGGACUCAUAUAGGCACCUCCAAGGUACUUAAUUGGAAAUUCCCACCAGAUUGGUAGUUAACAGGCUCAACAUUGAUCAAUAGUUAUCAUGAGCACCAAUGAUCAUAGAGAUAUAACAAAAAUUUAACAUUCUUUGACAUCCAUAAGUUCUAUUUAAUACAUAGAAUAGUAUUAGCUUCAUAAUACAAAGUAGCAACACACCCUUCUAUCAAAUUACUAGCAACACCCUCAAUUAAGUACGACUUGUAUUUCUCUACCACCAUCGUGGGAACGAAAACCUAGUUUAAUGCAUUUGUUACUUGUAGUUAAAGAUAAUUUUACAGUAUAUGUUGGCUCAGAUUAAAUAUUGUCCCUUCAAAUUCAUUUCAAAUGUCAACUAUAUUCUAAGAUUACUCCUAUUGAUUCUUCUGCCACUUUGAUCAUGUUGAUACUUGAUACAAAUUUUAACCCCACCUAUUUAGUCCAAAUAAUACCACAUAUAUGUUAGAUUAUCUUUAAUUAUAUUGUGUUGAGAUGAAAUUCUUCUAUGCACACUUGAAACAAGAGUGUAUGUUAAUACAACCUCUAGACAGUAUUAGAUGUGCACUAUUUUUCUUUCAUUACUCUUUUGUUGUUUGAUUAUAUAACUUUGGUUCUGUAUGAUUUCAGUUUCUAAAAUUGAAGCAAUUUGCAUCAUGUGUAAUACAGAUCAGCAAUUUGUUUCACGGAUUUAUUAAUAAAAAGUCUUGGGCGUGUUUAUUUCCAUGCACUAGAGACAUUUUUGUUUCCCAAUUUAUAUCAUGCGCCAAGCUUUAAUUGUGUUUUGUUGAAUGUGUAGAACCACAUGUAUAGCAUUAUCUGAAUUGCCCCUUAACCUUCAUAAGCAACUUUUCUUUUUCACUGCAUCCUUUUUAUUGUGUGAUUAAAAUCAGGGUUUAGCAAAGGAGCGAAAUGCAUAGGACACAAAAAACAUAGUUGCGAAGAUGCAAUGUUAUAUGACAUGUAGUGCAUGAUGAUUAACAGUCCUUGGAGUCAUGUGAUGUGUAUAGGCAUGGAUAUAGGAAUAACUUUUCAUUGUGUCAAUAGUAAUGUACCUACACAUUGGACUCAUACCACAUAAAGAGUAUAUAACAAUAUAAAUGGAGAUUGUUAACAUAUAUAAGGUUCUUAGUAAAAAUAACUCACCAGAACUGUACAGUUAGUCCAAAAGGUUUACUCAAAAAAAUAUAUUUUUUAUGAUUUUUCACAACUCUCUUUUCAGUUCCAACAUUUACAUGAAAUAGAAAAACUCUUUCUACUCCACAUGUGGUUUCAUUUAGUUGAUGCUUUCAUUCUAUUCUAUUCAACAGGUUUUCUACUAUACUCUGUUUAAUACGUUUUGCAAAACUAUAGCUAUUUGCGCCACAGAAGUGCAUUUUUGUGACUGUUUCAAAAACUACAAUUUCAACAAAAGAAAACUUUGUCGUCCUAUGUAUAGGCAUGGAAUAUUUCCUAUUUGUGUGAUAGGUAGUCCCUACAAUAUCUUUUUUAAUAUUAUGAUUCCUUGUCACUAGGGGACAAAAUGAAAAGUUCGCAAGUUUAAGUAAAUGAUGGACACACCCCAUGCCAUGUCUUGAACUCAAAUCCCAUGGAAGGCUUUUGCUAUAUCAACUUAAUCCUGUUCUCUUUCAAGAGUUAGUUUUUCUUUUCUUUUUUCUAUUAUUAUAUUAUAUAUGCUCACAUUCAUAGAUUAGUAUAGAAUUUACAUAAUCUUUCUCAACCUGAGUAAGAAGGUCUUCUUCUUAAUGCAAUAUAUGGGGGGUUGACUUACCACAUAUCUAGCAUGAUCUGUUAAAUGUCUCUUGGCCUUUAUAAAAUCAUUUUUUCUCUUUGUGUUUUACUGUGCAUCUUUUGAAAGGUUAUUGUGUUACCACGUAUUGUGGAUGAAUGAAGCUUUAUUUAAAACAAAAUCCCCAACUCUAUAUAUAACAAGACGGUAAACACAACAAUUAAACUAAAAUAGAAUAAAAAGAAUAAGAAAAUGAUCUAACAACAUAGAAUUUCAGGCACCAUGAGGUACUCAUGGUAAGCUACCAUCAAACAUAGAAUUUCAAACUCAAGGUAUAACUUGAAACCACCUAACUUACAUUCCAAUUAUAGAGAAAAAAUGUUGAUGUCAUUUCUUCUAUUCUCUUACACUAUGAAAAGAAAUGGUCAAAGUCCAUAAAAGUCAAUCAUUCUCCUAAAAAAGAAGGUGAUGAAUAGUGCAUCUAAGACAUCUCAUAUGCUUUGAUGUGCACAUGUCCUUUUUCCAAGGAUGCACCAAGAAGCCAAAAGCACUUGAAAACACCAAACGACUAUGGAGGCGCAUUGUUGCAUUGGUAUGUAGAAAGCCUAUAUAACUUUUUUAUUGUUGAGUAUUAAUGCAUGCAUUUAUAUUCAACUAUAAAACAUAAAAAAAUAUCAUUUGGAUAUGUUAAAUUAUCAUUCAUAACUUACUUUCUCAUGUUCAACAAAAGUAUUUUAUAGUGAAUUUUCUAAAUGUCCUAAUUUUCAGAGUUACAUCAAACACAAAAAAAAACAAUAGGCUCUACGGAACAAAAAACAUUUUCAUUGGAGAAAUUUUAUGCGCACAACCCUGUUUGUACCCAAUAGGUUGUACUAAAAAACACAAACCAAGUACUCACCCAAACCCUCACCCCUACAUCAUUUAAAGCAUAUUUGUUUAGAAAACAAUUGUAGUAAAAGAAAUUUUAUUAUAAAAAAAGACAAUAAAAAAUUACAUAUUCUAUAAAAACUUCAUUUGAAACACAUUUGACAGACUACACUUCAUCUUUUCUAAAUUACUGCUUACUUUGACUUUAUCCAAUAUAGUCCUCGGACAAACUUGUGUCUAAUCAUAUUGGUCAAGCUUUUUCAAAAAAAAUACUACUUAGGCCUUAUUUAGUUACACCCGAAAUCCAAAAAGUUUUCAAGAUUCUCCAUCACUUUGAAUCUUGCGGCACAUGCAUGGAGCAUUAAAUAUAGAUAAAAAAUAACAAAUUACAUAUUUUAUUUGUAAUUUGUGAGACGAAUCUUUUGAGCUCGAUGGUUAGACACUAAUUGUCGAAUACAAAUGAAUACCCAAAAGCUUUUCACCCAGGGAACUUAAAAAAAGGCUUUACUAUUCAAUCCAUCCCGAAAUUUGCGGUCCAUGCAUCACUAGAAAACAUACCACGCCUAAAUUAACUAGGCCACAUGAGAUUAUUGUAAACAAAUAAAGUGGCUCAGGAUGAAAUUACGCCAAUAUUAGACGCAGGCCCAUCCAAGCGCAUGGGCUAAUCUCUCGCUAACGUUGGCCUCUGGCCUUCCACCUCGUGGGCGUUGGGCACUUAGGGCCGCGCGCCCCUCACCUCUCCAUGUCUCGGUUGUUCAAGGCUGGCGAGCCGGCCCACGCCAUCGCUAUGUCCUCUCCCCUCUUCCUCCGUUCCAAAGCAUCAACUUGUGAGAUUAUUUUCACUUUUAUAAGGUUGUUAAAAUCAUAGAUUCUAAAUAGGAUAGGAGAGUUUUAGGUAGGAAAAUGUAAUAAUAAACUAAUAAUCAUAAAAAUCAUACAAACAUAGACUCUGCUGAUUAAGAUCAUAGAAUGUUAACGUCGUAAUAAAAAAAAUAUAAAAUUGUUUGGCAAAAUUGUAGAUUUAGGCCUUGUUUAGUUCCCAAAAAAUUUUGCAAAAUUUUUCAGAUUCCCCGUCACAUCGAAUCUAAUUGCACAGUUUGGUCGAAAUUGACGAGACGAAUCUUUUGAGCCUAGUUAGUCUAUGAUUUUACAAUAUUUGUCAAAUACAAACGAAGUGCUACAGUGUCAAUUUUCCAAAAAUUUUUGAAACUAAACAAGGCCUUAACUACUAUGCCUGAACUACUGUCAAUAACGAGUUUCACUCUCAUUUAUCUCUCUAGUGUAUCUCGCUUUACAUCAAACCACUCUUACGUUAAACAUCGACGAUAGCAGCCCACGAGGCCUUGUCGACGCAGCACAUGCAGGGCGGCCGUUGACCUUGCCCAAAUUUCAAGGAUGAGAGCACUCCAUGUCACAGGUGAAUUUACAAGAUCAAAGUCAACUGUGAGUCUGGAGACAGAUGAGCCAUGUCGCCGCCACCUCCGUUCCGCCAUUCCCAACGGCCAGGAUGCUUCCAUGCACAUGGCCUUGUCAACUAGCAUGUACUGAUGUACAGUAAUGGAGGAGAGUAUAUAUAUAUAUAUAUAUAUAUAUAUAUAUAUAUAUAUAUAUAUAUACUGCAGUGCUCGGACAGACUCCACGGCUUGCUUGCAUAGCUCCCUAGCUAGCAAUGGCGGCGCUCCCGUUGUUCCUCCGUCCCGUCCUGCUGGCCGCCGCCGCCUGCUUGUCGGUCUCGGUCUCGAUCAUCUCCAACGCCGGCGUGGCGGAGGCGGGCUUCGGCUUCGGCUACCAUGGCGGCGACGACGACUGGAGCAAGAGCCGCGUGGCGUCGAUCGUGACGGAGAAGCUAUACAGCGACAUGUUCAAGCACAAGGACGACACGGCCUGCCCAGCGCACGGCUUCUACAACUACACCUCCUUCCUCCGGGCCGCGGAACGUUUCCCGGCGUUCGGCGGCGACGGCGACGCCGCCACACGGAAGCGCGAGGUGGCGGCGUUCCUGGCGCAGAUCUCGCACGAGACCACCGGCGGGUGGGCGACGGCACCCGACGGUCCCUACGCGUGGGGGCUCUGCUUCAAGGAGGAGAUCAGCCCGGCGAGCAACUACUGCGACAACACCACCACGGAGUGGCCGUGCGUCGCCGGCGAGUCGUACCAUGGCCGGGGACCCAUCCAGCUGUCGUGGAACUUCAACUACGGGCCGGCGGGGCAGGCGCUGGGCUUCGACGGGCUGGGCAACCCGGAGGUGGUCGCCGGUGACCCCGAGGUGGCGUUCAAGACGGCGCUGUGGUUCUGGAUGACCCCGAGGUCGCCCAAGCCGUCGUGCCACGACGUCAUGGUCGGGCGGUACCGGCCGACCGACGCCGAUGUGGCGGCGAACAGGACGGCGGGGUUCGGGCUCACGACUAACAUUAUCAAUGGCGGCAUCGAGUGCGGCAAGACUGGCGUCCCGCAGGUGGACGACCGGAUCGGCUUCUUCCGGAGGUACUGCGAGCUGCUCGGCGGCGUCGAUGUCGGUCCCAACUUGGAUUGUACUCAGCAGCAGCCCUACUCUUCUUGAUUUAGUUGAUCGAUCGAUCACCUUCCUGCUGCUGCUGCUGCUGCCUAUCUUUCAUUUCGACUCGUGUGGUACUACUCGUUGAGUUUAUCUUUCCCAACGUACGUACAAUAAUUAUAUAUGUGAUGGGGUUGCUUACAAGUUAUUUAUGUACAAAUCAGGCGGAAUGCACAGUUGAAUCCUAACUAGUAGUUGCCACUGUGAAAAGUACGAUGAGCUAGCUAGGGCACGCCUGCUUAGGAGCAUGAGACAGAUCGAUCGAGUACAUGGACGUAGGCUGUUUGGAUGCCAGGCAUAGCUUGUGGUGCUGCCGAGUGUUUUUCUUUUGGCACUCGGCAAAGAAGCUCUUUGCGGAGUGCUCGAAAAAAAAUACUCGGCAAACCACUAGACACUCGGCAAAGAGCUGGAUUCUGGUAGUGUGAUCAAGUGUGCACAUUUUGAUCUUGCCAAUUCAAUCCAUUAAGAAGACAACGAACUACUAGAGUCUAGAGUAGACCGCGGAUCAAAUUAGCAACAAAUGACUUCCACUUUCAGGUUUGUUUUCUUUCUUUGAGAGCUUCUUCAGGUUUCACGGCAUGAAAUUUGUCAGUUUGGAUAAGCCGAGCCCCAAUGCCAGUUCAAUCCACAUGAGUGGGCCUGGAAUUUAUAUGGUUCGAAUUUCUGGCCCAUUCACACGUCUGUUUGGGCUAACGAUAAAAAUACAAAUAGUUGGAUCACGCGUAGGUCGCAGUCGCACAGGCUCACAGUAGCACAACAGCCCAUCAGGAGCUCACGUGAUGAGAAAUUGGUUUGGAAUUUAGGCACAACAGCCAUGAUAAUCCAGUGUCAGAACACCGAGAGAACAUAGAAGAAGACGGUAAAUUGGAGGCACUGCGACGCCCCGGCUCCGGCUCUCACCGGCGCUAUUAAACUCGAAUGCAUGGCCUUGGGUCGGUCGGUCGGUGGGUGGAUGAAUCGUGCAUGAGUUAGCAGAAUUUGUUUUGUAAGAAUAGUACGAUAUAAAGGGUCUGAUUGGGAUUGGUUGGCUACCAAAAUUUAUCAUGUCAGAGAUUUAUAGUAAGGCAAAAGUUGAGCCAAAAAAUUACUAAAAAUUUGGCAAGAUAAUUGUGAGACGUCGGCAAGUUUUGGUACCCAACCAAUAAUUAGCCAAAACUAUGACUUGCUAAAUUCUUGGCAUGACAAAUAAUUUUGGUAAUCAACCAAUCAGAGACAAGGUGAAGCAGAACAUACUAUUAUUGUUACGUCGCCGUCGCCACGAUAGAUCAUCAUUAUUGUUUGUUUAUCUGAAGAGUCAUGGUUAAAAGUCUUGUUUGCUGAUUUAUUAUAAGAGAAACGCACCGCUCAAUGGAUGACAGAUUCGAUAGAUAAGCUGACAAACAGUAGCAGUAAUUUGAGACAAGGAGGACAUAGUAGCAGCUUAAUAACUGUUUAUCACACACUGACACACAAAUCCGUUGGAACGGGGCAUAUGAACAUAUAGAGAUACAAUUAAGAAGAGUACAUCGAUGCUACAUACCACUAGCUACUAGGUAUUAGAAUCGGCAUAUAUUCAUCGAUCGGCAAGAGCAAGCAGGAACAUCAACAAACAGCAGCAGCAGCAACGACGACGACGACUACUUGGUGAUGGCGUAGACGGCGUAGAUGAUGCCGGGGAGGUAGCCGAGGAAGGUGAGGAGGAGGCAGAUCCAGAACUGGUGCCCGCACCCAAACUUGAGAAACACACCCAGCGGUGGCAGGAUGAUGGCGAUCAGGAUGUCCACGCAGUUCGCCGACAUGGCUUCUCUGCCGCCUUCUCGAUCUCCUGCCUCUUCUUCUUCUUCUCUGCCUUGGCUUGGAUUGGAUGGGGAUCAGAUUCCUCCUUUUCUAUGGCUUGGGGCUCACUUUAUAGACAGCAGGGUAUGGACGGUGGGAUCCAUGGAUGCCGCCGCGUCCGAUACGACGUCCAGCAAUGGCAUGCACACCGUGGGGCGGCUGGAGCUGGGGCCGGGGAAUUCAGAGCUAUUACUAGAGGUACGGUGAACCCCAACGCGGCCUUGGCUGCAUCUAAUUCUUCUUGGUCCACGGACACGCGGACGACUCAGCGCCCGCCCGGACGGCGCACCCAUCAGCCAGACUUCGCUCGCUCGGCCGGCGUCUGCUCGUGCGUGCUGCAGGCGCUGCCACACCGCUGCCGCCCAAGACGCGUGCAAUGCGACCUGGGGCAGGAGCUACCUGAUCGACGUCAGAUCAAAUACGGUCCGGUCAAAAGCCAGUUGGGGCGUCGGCGUCUUGACAGGCGGCCACAGGCCGACGUACACGUCGCGUCGCCGCCAUCGCCAUCGCCAUCCACAUUGCUGGGACUGGGAGUAGACGUCUGCAUCUGUGGCACGUGCACGCCGUCGCCUCUUCUGCACCCUGCAGUCUUCUCCCUCAUCCGUCGUCGGUCAAUAUAACAGCUACCUCACCUACAGUAGUCAAGAUGGCAACAAUACCCGAAAUCCGAUGUGUUCUUACUCUAUUAGAACAAGGAUAUGAAUUAAUUUCUCUAAUAUGGAUUUGUUAAUGGAUAAAAAUCCAAAUCCAACAGGUUUAUGGACAUAGGUCUAGAGAUAUAAUACCCAAACCCGUAAUGCUAUGGGUUUUUAAAACCCGAUCUAUCAUAGUGAAGCAAUCAUAUUAGUCCACAAUAUCUUUAAUUCUUGCAAACUGUGUAAUUAGUUUUUAUUUUUGUCUAUAUUUAAUGUUUCAUGCAUAUGCAUGCCGCAAAAUUCGAUGUGACAGGAAAUCUUGAAAACCAAAAAGGUAGUUUUUUACGGAAUGAUCUUUUGUCAUCAUGAACCAAUGGAUAUAUAAUCGCAAAAAAAAACAAUGGAUACAACAGUCAUCACCGUGAACCAAAAACAAAACCAUUGCCCGUGCGCCAACAUUCAGGGGUGUCUCCUCGUCGAAGUUUCCACGGAGGGAAGGGAAAAGCGCCUGAAAACGCCGCCGCCGACGUCGACGUCCAUCAAACAACGAUUCUACAAUGAUAUCCGGUAAACAAAUUAGCAUGUUUACACUGUGAAAGUUGAGCCUCACUCUCUUUUUCUUCUGCGAGGAAUGAAUUGCGCCUACUUGCUUAAAAAGAACAGAAAGUCCAUUUGCUCCUAGAAAUUGUUGCAGCCAUUGCUGACCAGCAUGCGGCAACUUAUCCCAAGGCCGUCACUAUCGUCACCCACAGUUGGGUCUUGUUUCGAUUUUCGAUGCCAUCUAAGGGCAAGUAUUAUAGUAGGUUGUAAGCUGGCUAGAUGCUGAGGUGGAGGAGAAAAGGGAGGAGAGAGAGGAGAAGCGGGCUGUAAGCUUACAGCCAGCCUGAGCACAGGAACCAAGAAACUUUGUGAGAGAGACAAGUGGACCAUGUAUUAAUAGUGAAUAGCUAACUAUUGUAUGGGUGGGCUGGGAGAAGGCUGCAAAGAACCUUACAGCCAGUAAGUGGGUUGUAUUAUUAAACUUGCUCUAAACAAGUUGCUAUUUUCAGCUACGAAACAGUAUUUUUCUAUCAGAACAAAUCAACAACAUAAACCACAAAAACGAUCAAACUGCUGGGAUUGGUCAGAGAGACAGCAACUACGGACCCUGCUGGGAUUUCUUAUGCCGCUAGUCUUCUCCCUCUCGCUCGUCACUUCAUCAGUCAAUACCGGCGGGCCGGCUGCAAUGCUAUGGAAUGCUGGCCAUGGCCCGAUUGCCCGAAUGCGACCACACUGCACGUGCACGCCACGUGUCCCGUCUACCACACACCCAAAGUCCAAUGGACUAGGAUCCAUUAACCACUAUAGCUCUCUUCUGAGGCUCCAAACAGAUAAUCUAAAAUCAUGUCUAAAAUUUAGCUAACCGUAUAUAACUUUAGAUCGUAUAAAAGUGAACUAAAAUGAUCUAAAGUUAUAAUCCUCAACUUUAGCCAACUAAAUUUUGCAUCCAAAAAAUCCAAACAAACUCUAAAUUCAGGUAAUCUUAUAGUUAGAUGUGCAAUUAUUUCUAGACCAAAUUUGAAUCAUAUAAGGGCAGGAUAUAGUUAAUAAGCUUUAUCGUUUUUUUUUUCUCCAGAUGCAUGGCAGACAUUCUCCUGCUCACGCAAAAGUGAAGCCCCAAAAAGCGGUGUAACGAACUGGAGACCCACCAAUCCACCAUCCAUCGCCUAGGGCUGCGAUCCGUUUUUCAAAUAAUAAAGCAUAUCCACCGGCCUUCACUACAUGGUGAUAAAGAGAGUAAAUCACAGAUCAUAAAGCUUAAACAGUAAAAGUUCAAUUCCACACUAAGACCAGUUUUCAGUGGUGAUUUCACCUUAUAGUUUCCAACGUAUUCAGUUUUUGGAAAAGUUUCAUCCAUAUGAAAGUCUCUUUACUCCCAUAAAACUCUCGUCAUCUUUCUCUUCAUUAAUAUGGUACUGUAUUAGCAUAAUUAAUGUUCAUGAAACUUUAAUAAAACUCCAUUGAGAUUGGCAUAAGAAAAAACACUGACCCAAGCACCGGAAGUGAAAAUUUACAUUACCAACCGUAAUCACGGUAAACCAGCGUCAUCAACUUCUUUUGGUCUUCGCUUUGUUGCAAUUGCAACCGCACCCAAAACCAGAGCCAACAUGUCGCUUAGAAAACUACUUGCAAACAUGUUUUUUUUUUGCUGACACUUGUUGGGCACAAUAUUAUUCCCAUAGAGUUAAGUUGUCCAACAUAGAGCAUGCGCUUGUCCUUGUCAAACAUUUUAGUCUCCUAUUUAACCCUAACACUAUCAUCCAUUGAUUAACACAAAGUCACCAAUAUUAUUGGGUGAGAUAAUAGCAAAAACAAUAUAAAAGUCACGCCAAACAGACCUAGCCAAAUGACAAGUUUUGAACAUUUGAACAAUUAAUCUCAUUGCUAAAAGGGCACGACUUUUGUUCCAUUUUCAGAUUGCUUCUAUAAUGAGGUUAAACACAUGGAGAUCCUAGAAGCCUAAACCUCCCUUUUUCUUUGAUUCUAUCUACUUUCCCUAGCAGAUCCAAUUGAUUUAAUAUCUGUUCAUUUUAGCUCCCCUCCACCGAUAAAAGCAUACUCCCUCUGUCCCUUUUUCAGACUUGUUGUAGCUGUGCUUCUAGCUGUCUCCAUUCAAAGCAUCAUGCAUGUAUCUAGGUGAAGGCUUCGGUCCAAAUUCAUUGAAUGUUGCUUGUACCUGAGUGAAGGGUAGAACGACUCUCAAAUGAGGACAGAGGGAGUAUGUACUUACAUCAUCACAUAGUCCUUUAGUUCAAUCAAAACACGACAUCUUGUUCAAAAAUAUAAAAAAUAAAACAAACCAGUUGCUUUGUACUCAUCCCUGAUGACGAGUGUCUUCUGUGGUGCAUUUCAAAUCUUGUGUGUGAUGGAGUUCCCUUCAGCUUCAACGGUGGCGGUCGGUGGCGUGUUCGAGUGGUGACAAGGUUUUCUGGAAUCUUAUGCUUGCAAAGGGUCCAUGAACCUUUUGUAGUUUGCACUUUUCUAAGGGCCUUUUGUGAAAGUAGGGUAGGGCAGAUGUCCUCUGUAUUCCUUUAUGGCAUACUCCCUCUAUACCCAUAAAAAAGUCGUUUUAGAUAAAAUUUAAGUCAAACAUUAAGAAUAUAAAACAUGAAAUUGUUGAAUUUGGAAAUGUAAAAACCAUAUAAAUAGAUUUGUCUUGAAAAUAUUAAUGCUUUCAUAGAAGUAUAUAUACACCACUUGUUGAUAAAUAUUUUUAUAUAAAAACAACGAGUUAAAGUUAGGUUUUAGAGACCAUAUCGUUGUCUUAAACGACUUUUUUUAUAGGUAUCGAGGGAGUAAUUGUAAGUACAAGCGUCUUUGUACGUUUUCUUAUAUUAACUUUUAAUAAUACAGGUUUGCUUGAUUAAAAAAAAAAAGGCUUUGCUGGCUCGCCGACGACACGGCGCGCGGCCGCGGCAGCGUGGUAGAGCUAGAGCAACGACGCGCGAGGCCGCGCACGGGCUGCACCUGCACUCUCCUCGCUCGAUCGCAUGGCCCUCCUCUUUCUCGCACAAGUGCGCGCAGCAAAGCCGCACAGAUAGCUCGCCGAUCGAGCUCUGGCCGAGCGCGCGCCUGCCUGAUGAGCCGCAGCCGCUGCGUAUACUCUGCUCACCGUCCUGUUGUUAAUUACGUACCUUGUUGAUGUCAUCUCGUGAUGUCUUGAAAAAUGUCAUUUUUUUUUCCCCCUUGGAAACAGAACAGCAUCAUGCUGCUGCACCAGGGGUUAUGGAAGAGGGUUCCUCUGUCUCCCACUUAUUAUGCGUUGAGGUGUUGCGGCAGAUUCGAUUUACUGAAGAUAUGCCGACGAUCGAGUGAGGAUGUCGUCCUGCUGUCAUUCAGCAGCAGUGGUGCUGGACAAGGCGGUGAGGAUUAAUAACUUACUCUUGCUUAAUUCAUGGGUCUCAACACAAUACAUUCUGUUUUAAUUACAUGGAAGUUUGGCUAGAAUAAUACACAUUCUCAACUUAUAUCUUAAUUUAGGCAUUUAGGCAAUGCUAGUCAUGCAUGGAUCACACAGCGACACACACAAGUCGACGACGACUACUACUGCUUGGUGAUGGCGUAGACGGCGUAGAUGAUGCCGGGGAGGUAGCCGAGGAAGGUGAGGAGGAGGCAGAUCCAGAACUGGUGCCCGCACCCGAACUUGAGGAACACACCCAGCGGUGGCAGGAUGAUGGCGAUCAGGAUGUCCACGCAGUUGGCCGUCCCCUCCGACAUGGCUGCCUGCCUUCUCGAUCUGCUUUGCUAGCUUCGGUGAAACUCGAUCGAUGGACGGACGCAGUACUCCGGCCGAUGAUCCUCCCUGUAGUCCUGCUUUUGCUUGGCUUGGAUAGUUGGAUGGAUCGGAUUCUUCCUGAUUUCCUCCUUCCGCUUGCCCUGGUACCGGCUCUGGCUGGUGGUCGUGCUUCACUUUAUAUAUAGACAGAACGGACCGGGAGGGAGACAGCGUAGAAUCCAUCUCUAUCACCACCAGUGGAACACGCAGCAGCAAGCAAGAGGACACGUCCCAUGCAUCGAUGGUGCCGCCUACGAUACGACGUCUCCCGCGACGGACGGCAAACCGUGGGCGGCUGGCGCUGCCGACGCGCAGGGCCGGGGUUACAGAUAGCUAGAGUGGACCCCACACGGCGUGCCUGCUUCCUUCGCUGCUAAUCCUUCAGUCCACGGAUAAAUACACGUCUUUUUUCUUUUAAGUUUACCAAAUAUGUAAAAAUAUGUUGAUAUUUAUCAUAUGUAAUAUAUAUCAUUAGAUUGUGUACGAAAUAUAUUUUCAUAAUAUACUUAUUUAUAGAUAUAUAAAUAUUGAUAUUAUUCGAUAUAUUUUUAGUUAAAAAAAAAAUUGACUCUUCGAGAACCGAGACGUGUAGUAUUUAUUUAUGGACGAAGGGAGUAAGCUACAGCAUCUAAGGGCUUGUUUAGUUCGUGAAAAAUUAGAUUUGGUUACUGUAAUAUUUUUGUUUUAUUUGAUAAUUAGUAUCAAAUCAUAUACUAAUUAGGUUUAAAAAAUUUGUCUUCUAAGUUAUAUAUAAACUGUAUAAUUAGUUAUUUUUAUCUAUAUUUAAUGUUUUAUGCAUGGUUUAAAAAAGUUGAGAGAGGUUAUUUGUUUGGUUGUAGAGUUGAGGGAGGAAAAGUAGAUUUUUUGAAAAUUGGGGGAGAAAAGGUAGACUUUUUCCACGUAUAAAUAAUUAAACAAGAGCAGCAAGCUCCUCUAGCCCAACCGAUGGCCCAAGCGUCUUCGGUUAUCGGGCCCAGCCAGCUAAGCUUGAGAAUUGGGCCAUUACACCCUCCAACCACACAUGAAUCUACCUAUGAUAUGAUUUAUUAUUUCCUCUCAAAAAAAAAAACCUAUGAUUUGUUAUUCAUAUUAUCAUAUAAACAAAAUGUUCAUGGAUACUAAUUACGAUCCAUGGUGCUACAUAGAACAUAGAAGAUUUUAUCGCCUGCUAAUUAAUUUGUUGCAACACCAUAUAGAUUUGGAUUUAAACAACUAUGUUUCAAGAUCUUCGCUCAAACCUACACAAACAUGAGUUGGCGACCAAGAAACCUUUCACUAAAACUGCAAAUAUGUUACUGAAGACCGAAGCAGUAUACAACAUCUGGACGGGUGUCCUCAGACUAGAUGACAGGCAGCACUAACCACGACACAGCAUCAGGGAGAAACACUCACGGCAUACAUAUACAUAGCUAUCCUACGACAACUGUCAGGCAGGCAUCUUUGUUCGAUCAUCCCACGACAAACUGGGAUUGGAAGGAAAACCCUUCGUGGUUAGAACAAUCAGCAACUUGUUCAACAAUCCUCGUCAGGAAUGCAGUUCUGGGUCUGAAUCAAAGGGACUGAAGACUGGCAACUUUCUCUUCUUCUGCUCUUUUCUUUGGCCUGUGAAAAAAACAUAAAUGUUAUGUUGUCCCUUCAGCUGUAAAAAUGUUCAUGAAUUAAACCACAGCUUAGGCAUCGUUACUUUCUCUUCCUAUUGUGACAAGCAUGGAACUAAAAGGGAUACAAAAUAAUGGCUUGAAUAAUAUUUUUUUUUUCUUGUACAGGUACCAAACUGACUGAUCUAAAUAUGGGAUGUUGAAAACCAGCUCUAUCCUCACCUACUAGAAUUAUUAACCUCCUCUUUUCCAUCUUCCUCACUAGCUACAACGUCGACAACAGGCUCAUACAGGUACCAUUCUUUCCGUUUCCUGAUACACAAAAAGGAAAAGCAGAAUCAAGGCGAUUUCAAUGCCAAACAGCAGUAAACUAGUAACUAUUACUUCAAACACAAAGUGAACAUUAUCAGUCAGUACUUCCCUAUCAGUACCAUCAAAACCGAACUAUAGUAAUAGUUAACAAAUCAAGGUUUUUAGAAGAAAAAGGUUGUACCGGAUGACACUUCCUUUGCUGCCAAAAUACUUGAACAAAUCCACUGCAUUGUUCACAGCUUUACUGCAAAAUAUGGUCAUAUCAAUUUUAGUAACAAAUAGAGAAACAAAAUAGGAAGGAUGGCAUUUAGCUUGGAUGUGCCAAUUAGCAUCUUUAUGGCAGUCCCCCUACGUUUCCCUACAUUUUUCUUCUAAAGAAAAAAAAGAGUAAACUCUUCCACAAACCUAUUAGAAGAAAAUUCUGGUGCUCGCCUUCCCUUCUUUGACAUUUGCUUCUCCCUCAUAACAGAGACACUCUGACUAGCAAUCUACAAACUCAAAAUAUAUUUUUUCAAUAAAAAGCCUUAUACAAAACAAAAGAUUAACAAUAUAUGUGAAGGAACCACAUACAAACUUUAUAAGUUCUGCCUCUAAUGGAACAUCAAAGUCAAGAUAUUGCAAUAUUGUGAACUGAGUUAGGAAAGAAAAUUAGCUAACCUCAUAAAGCUGCUCACGGAUGGAAACUGCUAUUGCAGGCUGCACGUCAAACAAAAAGACUUUGUCAUCAUAGAACAAAGUUGCAGGAACAAUGCACAAUUUUUACAUAAAAAGAACUGCAGUGAAAGAAAUAUUCAUAUAACAGCAAAUUAAUGACUAAACCAUCACAAUUCUGCAGCCAUGCAAAAUCAUAAAUAAUAAAAAAGGACAAUAACAGUAAUAGUGUUUUACAUGACUUGCAAGUACAAUAAAGUUAAAUGCAAGUUCAGAGAAAACAUGGGAAAAAAAUCAUCCGGGAAUCCAUCCUGUAUAACAAUUUGGGAGAAUUGAAAUGCGUAAACAGUGGCCAGUUGACAUGGAAAACCAUCAUCAUAAAAGCUGUUGCUUUAGUUCAAUUAACAGUUCAUUCCACUGAACACUCAGAGCUUCAGUAUAUAAGGCAUACCCCAACUUCAGGAUCUGUGAUGUUCAAAUCAUCACACAGCGUCCUUGCAAAUUCUUCAGGGUCACUAUCAAGGUUGCCGAUAUCCUGACCACCAAGAGUAGAUGGGAAUUAAAGCAAAUCAUCUGGUCAUGAGGACUCCCGAAAACCGCAAACACACAUGUACAUACCCAUAAGAACUGGUCUCUAAUUACAGUGUUGUUCACUCGGAGGUCAAUCUGCGGAUUCAACAUAUAUAUAAGCUGUCACUUAAGGACAUAAGCCCCAUUCAUCUGAGGAUAAAAAUACAACAGGCCCAGAAACUGCCUGCUGAUGAGCAAAGAUUAACCAGAACAAUAAAACAAACCUUGAGAGGCACAAUCUUCUCCUUGAUUUGCAUCUCCUGCCCCUCGUAGGAGCGGAACUCCGCCAGUUGCCCCUACACGAAAAACAAUACAGUCGAUGGACCAUUAGCAGCGCAGAACACCUUGCAGGAUAGGAUAGGACAGGACAGCCAAAGAAGCGAAAAGAGAGGCACCUGGAUGGACUGGAGCAUCUGGGGAACGAAAUUGGCCGGCAGCUUGAGGUCCUUGGCCGUCCGCUUGGCGAAGCUAAUGAUCUCCGAGUCGGGAUCUGCCGGCAAGCCGCAAGGAGCAAGCGGGUCAAUCCAGGCAGGAAGCGAGAAACGCGACGCGAACUGGAGAUGAAUGAAGCGAGAAGCGGAGGCCGGGUACCUCGCGGGUUCCAGGUGAAGGCGUCCCUGUAGCGCUGGCCGUCCACCUCGACGUCGACGCGUAUGGGCACGAGGUUGUCCCUCGUCGGCCUGCAGCACGGAGGAGGCAGAGGAAGAGCGAAUCAGCCACCCGCGCCCUCUUCCUCCCACAGCAAUCGAUCCAAGGCGUCUGUCUAAUGUAAGGGGAUUAGGAGGGAGCCAGGGAGGGAGAGGGCGUACAUGCGGAAGUUUACGGUGGAGGGCCUGGAGGCGCCGAGGCUGACCGUCUUCAUCUCUGUACCCCUCGCCGUCGCUCGGUGCACCGCCGCCGCCGCCGCCGCCGUCGCCGUAGCCCCGCUUCGGUCUGCGCCGGCGUGCAACGCGAAAUAACGGGUACCGUGUGCGUGUGGGCCUAACUAAUUAGAGGCCCAACAACAAAGUCUUCUAUGUACGGGCGCCGGAGGUUUCAUGGGCCGAAUUCACGACAACAUUUAUUUGCCGUGAAUGGUUUUUUAAACACUUUUGGACACCAAUUAAAAUGUUGUAGAGGUUUUCUCUUUUUUUUUAUUUCCCAUUGUCUAAGAACUUAAUCUAAUUUUGGAAGUUUCUAGAUGGUUUUCACAAGCUAUAAGUAUCUUAUUCAAAUUCAUUAAAUGCCAAUCUAUCUCUAUGAUUUUUCUGAGAUUUUUUGGAAGCUUAGAAACGUUUUAUGUUGAUUAGAAACAUUAAUAAGUAUUUAUUGGGUUUUUUGAAACAAAAGAGAAAUAAACACUUUCAGAAACAAGUUGAAACCAGGCAACUAGGUAAUUUGAAUGUUUUUAAAAUUUUAGAGGGGUUAAGAUGUUUGGUUUUGGAGUUCAUGAAGAAAAAUCAGACUAUGCCGAUAAUUUAAGAAGAUAAAGUAGACUUUUUCAAAUAGAUUUAGCUAGAAGCCCUAUAUAUAUAUACACAAUAUAUACCUAUACGUAAAAAACUAUCUCAGCUCUCAAAGUAAGAUAACUCCAUUAUUUUGUUCAAGAGGAUAUAUUAAUAUUUUUUUAAGAAAAUAAUAGUCUCUGCUUUGACCACAAUAUGGGUUUUAUACAUCAAGAAAGAGUUAGUGUAGCAAAAAUGCAAAAUGGUCUUAUACACAAAACUAAGCAUUAAAGUUUAAGAGCCCAAUUCGAGAGCUCCACGUGGCUCCAACUCCAGAACUAUAGGUAUAGCUAUUAUAACGGAGCCAGAAGAACAUCCAAUCUGCAGCUACUCAAGCAUCUUUGUUUUCUAGUUGAAUUUAGGUAGAGUCAGAGCCAUUUCACCCAUGGCUACAGUAUUACAAUGUGGAACAAGAAUGUAUAGUGCCGACUGUCCGGUACUAACCAAAGCUCAAACGGUGCCAAACGAGGCUUUAAGAAAAGACAUCCAUCUGUAGCUAACAAAGAUCUUUAUGGUCUCAAAACAAAUGGCCUUAUGCUUAUGCUUAUUUUAUUCUUGUUAAAGCGCCAUUGACAACCAUGCUUUGACAUUUUAUUGUAAAAUGUCAUAAAUAUAAUGACAUUAUGUUUUUUUUACGAGAUAUAAUAACAUUAUGUGUUAUUAUCACAAAAGAAUCUAGGUCCUCCUUAGUUGGAAUUAUUUAUGAAUUAUUAUGUGUUUUCAUAUGAAAUUAAAUCAAUUUCUAUAAAAUUCGUUAAAUUCUUACGGUUUGCGUCUGCAUUAGAUUAGAUUAGAUAAGAUGAUGAUGCCAAAAAAAAGAAGAAAAAUCUCAUUUUCAAUUGUGAUGCUCGUUCGAAAAAGAUUUCCAUUGUGAUGAUGAGGAAAAUAUCUACGUGAGGUCGGGCUAGGCACACACCACCAUCCGGUGACGUCGUCUUCUUCCCAAGCUAUCCCUCUCGCUGUCUCGAUCCAGUGUGUAUACAGUGACCCACGUCUCGGUUCAUCGCCGGCGGCGGCAGCGUCGCCGCUUGGGCGAGCUCUUCAUCUGCGCUUCACCGGCGAAGUUUCCACUAGGUACGCCGCCCAUUCCUGCUGCUGUGCGGAGCCAAGCACCGCCCAAGCUAUAUACGCAUUAGGAAUCUGACCCAAAUCUAUCAGACUGUCCACUGCCUUCGAUUUUUUCAUAUUGGGCGCGCCCCUGUUGAUUGCUAGGUGGGGGUGAACAUGUCGAGCGCAGCGGUGAACGGGCUGGCCGGCGCCGGCGGCGGCAUCAUCGCUCAGAUCAUCACCUACCCUCUGCAAACCGUACCACCCUAUUCUAUUCUCUUCUUGCCCCUAUGUUAUGUCCUCUUCUAAAUUCGACAAAUACUAUCCUUUUGCUCCGCCCGAUGGUUCCCCCAGGUGAACACCCGGCAGCAGACGGAGAGGUCAGCGAAGAAGAGGAAGGCCGGGAGCGGCGGCAGCGCCACCCACACCUCCACCCUCUUCCAGAUGCUCCAGGUGAUUCAUCGCGGGAUUCAGGUCUUCUUCCUGUAGCGGCUGCGCCAGAUGCCCUCUCCCUAAUUAAUUUUGGAAUAAUCAAGUGACUGCAGCUGAUACAAACCGAAGGAUGGGGUGGGUUGUACAGUGGUCUCAAGCCCUCUCUAAUCGGCACUGCCGCGUCGCAGGUUAAAUUCCACUUCUAGUUUGACUGGAUUUCGAUAACUACAAACUGCAAUGUGUAUGGAUGAUGAGUACUCCCUCCGUCCCCGAAAGCUGCAAUUUCUAGAGUUGUUCGAAGUCAAAAUUUUAAAACUUUGACCAAAUUUAUAGAAAAAACACUAAGAUUUAUAGUACCAAAUUAAUACCAUUAGAUUUAUCAUUGAAUAUAUUUUCAUAAGAUACUCAUUUUAUGUUAUACAUAUUGAUGCUCUUUUCUAUAAAGUUGGUCAAAGUUAAACAAGUUUGACAGUGCUAGUUGUGAACUUUGAGUCACAUUCGGUUUCAUGGUUCCAGGGAAUCUAUUACUACUUCUACCAGAUCCUCAAGAACAAGGUGGAAGAUAUAGCAGCUGCUCGUAGUAAGAAGGGCCAUGGGGAUGGUACUGUUGGGAUGCUUUCUUGGCUUGGUAUUGCAGCUGUUGCUGGGUAAGUUUCCUACUACUGCUACUCUUGCAUUUGUGUUGUUUAACUGGUGGAACAAAUUAAAGCAGAUGGGUGGAUUGGUUGAACUUCUUAUGUGUAGACCUGUGAUUUUAUUGGAUGGGUGGAUUUAGUGUUACUGUGUGUACUUUUGUGGCAAAUGUGCUGAUUUUAUGUGAUUUUGUAACUUAGGUACCAAAAAGCGUAGUUUUCAAUAGUUUGUAUGACUUAGUUUUAUUUUAUGAGUUAAUAAUCUUGAUCUUUCGGCAUGCUCAUGGUCACUUUUCUUUGUUGCAGGUCAAUCAAUGUUCUUCUAACCAAUCCAAUAUGGGUCCUUGUGACACGUAUGCAGGUAAAUUAAACUAGGUUAAUUAAUGCCUUUUUUCUUCAAGAAGAUAACUGGCACAGUUCACUAAAGAAGAGAAUCUACAUACAGGGGUUUUGAGUUCUUCUGUCUGAAAAACUGCUACAACUGACCUGGUCAGGGAAUGCUUAUAUUAGUGAUACUGUUACAUCCCACUUCAUUGUACUCACACAGUGUUGUGUAACUUCUGUUGCUUCUGAUAUCCCUUGUGAUGAGCCUAUCUACUGUUUAGAUAUGAAAUUGUAUGCGCAGCCAGGCAAAGAGCUUACAUUCCAUUGUCUCAAAAUGUUCGUAUUUGGGAAGUUGUAUGGGUGAGGAUAAAUCAGGGGACUGAAAUAGUCUUCUCUAUUAAGCAGCUAUAGGAAUAUUAGUAAAGCUUUUUAUGCUGGACAUUUAUUGCUGAACUAUGAUAAGGUGACGUUACAUACAGUAUUGUUGACAUGUUACAGUCUCAUUUUACUAUGAGACUCCAAUCCUUAAAAGUACAGUGCUGAUAAAUAAGAUCUUUAUUGUCAUUUUUUCCAGAAAAGAAGCUAACACUUAUGGUUCGGGACCUAUCUGGUUGUGAUUUGUUUUGUUCUUCACAAAGCAUUUCCAUGCCUCGUAGUUUCUAGUUUUUUUUAAGGCCUAUUGGCUUGACUAUGAAGUUAUGAACUACAAUUAAUACAUUCGCCAUGACUCAUAUCCAAAUUUUUUCCAGCCAGAAUCAUGCAAAAGUGGUUACUUGAUAAAAAAAACAUUAUUUGUAUAUUAGCUGAACUCCAUGUGGGGCCUGCUUUUACCUAGCCUACUGACAAUGAAGUGGCUAAAUUUAAUUGCAUUGAUGCAAUAUGCUUCAGCACUACUCAGAACAAUAACUGCAGCAAAUUAGUAAUUAUCAUUGGCUGUCUUCCAGACACAUACUCAAGCGAAAAGGAAAAUAUUGGAGUCUAAGAGCGAGCUUUUACUGAAAGAAAUGUCUAGGGCCAAUUCAUUGGAGGUUGCAGUUCUGAAGGAUAGGCUGGUUAAACUGGAGUCGGAAAAACCUCGUCCAUAUGGUACUCUUCAAGCGGUUAGCACUCUUUCUUCAAGUAGGCAACCCCUUCAUCCUAAACUUUACUGUUUUGGUACAGAAAAUUAAUCAGUAAAGAAAUGAAAUGGUUAAUGGUACAGAUCUUCUGAAAGAAAGAAUUGGGAAGUAUGCUAGAUGCCACUGUGUUAGUUGUUUUCACACUUAAUAGUUCGGAAAUAGUAAAUAGAUACACUUAAUAAUUAGAGGCUAUAAAAAUGCAAAAAAUCCUGAAUGAGUAGUAUUUCAAUUUGCUUUCUUAUUGGUAGGAGUAGUUUGUUAACCUAGAACAUUAUAAAUUUAAUCAAAGUUUCAUAUAAUCAGAUUGAAAAUAAGUGUAGCUGGUGUCUGAAGUUGCAAGUUCUUCUAAUUUUCUUUUACUUCACAAUUUAAAGUAAUCAAAACAAUAUUUUUAUCAAUGUAUAUCGGUCUUAGACAGAUCCAGGAGGUUUAUCGUGAGUCUGGUAUAAGAGGAUUUUGGAAAGGGCUUGUUCCAACAUUAAUCAUGGUUAGUUAUUUGCUUCUGAAAUAUACAAUCAAAGUUUAUGGGUUAUGUAUGCAAGUCCAAACCUUUGAAACAUUUAAAAUGACAGGUAUGUAAUCCAUCGAUUCAGUUCAUGAUCUAUGAAACAUUGGCAAAGCGCCUGCAGUCAAAGCAUUCUGGAAAGCAACUACCAAAAAGGAACCUCACUGCUAUGGAGGUACAUAAGUUUCAGAUUUAGGUCCUGGAUUAUUCUUGUCUUUAUGAAAUGAUGCAUGCGCCUGACUUUGUGAAAGCAUGAUUUUUUGGGCUCAUUGAUCACCUUAGCUGUUUAUUCUGCACCUAGAAAAUUCAUUUUUAUAUGAUGUCAUAUGAUGUUAUAUUAGAUGGUCCACGCAAAAUAGCUGUUAUUACCUACAAACCACUUUCUGCAAUUGUGGACUACUUAAUGGGAUUGUAACAGUUAGCAAUUGCAAAUGAUUAUGUUAUGGGAUUUUCUUCAUUAGUAUAUCCUUGUGAAAAGUUAUGAAUGGUCUAAGCAUGAAAAAUUAAGUGUAACUAUGGGAAAAUUUGUUUACAUCUAUGAUUAGUUUGUUAUCCAAAACAUCUCUUCGGUCUCUUCUAAAGUUCUAAUCCACAUGAUUCUUUUUUACUUGAAACAAAGAACUUAAUUCAUAUGUAUAAGAUCCUACUUUUAGUGGAAAAUGCCUCAGUACAUAAUCAUGGUAUGUGUCCAGAGCAGCCGGUAACCAGCUAAUGGAGAGCAUUGAGAUUAAUUAUUGUGUUGAUAGAGCACAAUAUACUCAAUAUGCAUAGGGCAGUUCUUAGUUGUGAAAAAAAUAAAUUCUUUAUUUGAUCAUGCACCAUUUUACCUGUAGCAGGCAACACGGAUCCGCUGCAAUAUUUGUUGCAACCUCUGAUUAGGGUUCCAUUUAAUUUUUAUGGGAAAUAAUUAUGCUUGACUAAUGAUCAAGUUAAACUAAUUAAUACGUGUUGGUUUACCCUCAGUCAUUAGUAACUACUUUUGCUUGAAGAUUCAUAAAUCUUUCUAUAAGAGGGCUAGCAGAGCAUUCAUAUGUUUAACUGUGCAUUUCUACAUACUCAAGAAAGAAGAACAAGCUCAUGACUUCUCUAUCCCAUAUCACCAAUGAGAUCAUAUAUUUUCUUUGUUACUACUCUAAAUUCAAUGACAAACUAUUAAACUAGCAGUAUGAAUGCACAAGCAGAUGGUAAUGUCCAUACAUACUUAUGCAGUCUUCCUCUGCACUUUCCUCCUCGAGCAGGUUUUUUUAUUGGGUGCAAUAGCAAAGCUUGGAGCUACUGUAGUCACUUAUCCAUUGCUAGUCGUCAAGGUACAUUUUAUUUAGAGACUUGUUAAUAGUUUUAACCCCGUACUCUGUGAAAAGUUUUAACUCUAGACUACCAGCACAUUACUCUAGCUAACUUUAUUCUUAAAUACAUUGGUCUGGAACUGAAGUAAGUGGCCUAAUUCAAAGGCCUAUGAAAAUCUUGAGACAUUCAUGUUUGUGAAAUUCCUAGAUUUUUUUUUGAGCUCGUGAAAUUCCUAGAAUUGAUUGGAUUCAUACUAUAUAAGUAGCCUAAUCGCAAUGUCAAGGGCCUGGGUAUCCAGGGAUGGCGGCCCUUGGCUUCUCAGCUCAUAGUUCGAACCAGGUAAGGGUGCCAGGGUUUUUGCCUGACUACCAACAGCAGAGGUGAGAUCAAGAAUAGCAGAGAGAGGGAAAUUAGGGAUAAACUUCUUGCUUGCUUUCAUUCAACGAGUACAGGGGGUACAUAUAGGAGCUCAGCUCCACUGCUACUUGCGCCAGCCAUUAACUGCUAGCUGGAUAAUUAAUUCCUUAAUCUCCUCUAUUACUUCGCCUUAAAGAAUACAGCCCCUCCAGCUGCCUAAGCCUCCUCGGUUUCUUCCAGGCCAUGCGCGCCCUUGGGGGCUGCCCUGUCUGCUCCUCGUGUCUGAGGCCGGCGUCUGUAGUGACGGCCCCACAUGGCAGCAGUAAUUAUUUUUGAUAUACUGUUGGGUCUAUUGUGCCUAGAUUCAAAUUGUGUGCCUUUACAUAUUACAGUAAUUGAAAUUCACUCAAAUGGCCUGGCACUUAGGUCUGCUUUAGAUCCACCUAGUUACGGACACUGAUAGAACAAGUCCAUCUCGAGGGCGUGGAGGGUGGUGAAAGAUUGAAUUUUGCGACAACUGGUGCUUUAAUUGUUUACUCAUUAUGUCUUAACUGUUGCAGUCAAGGUUGCAGGCAAAACAAGAAAUUGGCAGCAAUGCGAUGUCCAGAUACACAGGUAUCUUUGUCUACUGCACAACCGAAUUAAUAACAAAUUGUUGAUAUGUUUUUUUUCCGAGAAAAAGGCUCUUGAUAUACUUUCUUUGACAUCAUUGUUUAUGUGUUUUCAUAGGAAAAAAACUGUUGAUAUAGAACAAAUUGUUAAUAGUUUCUGAAAGCAUUGUGCUUUGAUAAUAAACAAGAUAUCCUAUUUAUUUUAGUCACACAUCUAAUUUCAUUGAUGUUAAGUUAACAUUACACCGACUCUUUUCACCAGGUACACUAGAUGCGAUAAUAAAGAUGGUCCGCUACGAAGGACUGCAUGGAUUUUACAAAGGAAUGGGUACAAAGAUUGUACAGAGUGUCUUUGCUGCCUCGGUUCUAUUCAUGGUUAAAGAGGAAUUGGUUAAGUUAGCAGUGCUUUUAGUUGCAAGGAGUAGGACUAUGCUUAUUACUACAUCCAAGAAACAAUAGGUGUAUGUCCAUGACCAAUAUUUUUUUGGGGAGAAAAGCCCCCCAUUUUUUUUGCCUCAACUUGUAAUAUAUAGGAUCUCAUUAUACAUAUCCUGUUCAUGAUCAAUAUGAAAUUCUUUACUAGUUACUAGAGAAAUUUUUGAAGCCUCUCAAAAGUCAUAUAUCUCCCCUGGAAGUUAUAGGGUCUCAAUAUGUAGGGUCUCAUCUGGAAGUUAUUACAUGUUUUGGGAUUAACUAGCAUCCCAAAUUAAGUGCAUUUCUAGCAUUUGAAUUUUGUCGUGAAAUAAGUAGACUGCUUCUAGGUAUGUCUCACAUAGUUUAGAGUUUUUUUUAAGUGCAAUCUAAAAUAUCUUUUGAUAUGGGUAAAUAUGAACUUCCAAGUAACAUAAAUCUUCUCUAAGAAUCAUACGAAUUCACUUAUUUUGGAAUGGAGUGAGUAUUGUCACCUAGUCUGUGCUUGAUAUUUGAAUGAUGAGUAAUAAUGCAUCGGAGGUACGACAAGCUUGUAUGGUGGGUGCAAGUCCAGAUCAUUGUUGUUGCAAAAUCAAUGCCGCAACUAGUCAUCGAAGUUGAUAGACUUAAAGCCAGCCAAUCCAGCUGCUACGGCUGCUAACUUGUGACAAAGACAUUGCAGCUACAGUAAAAAUAAUAGCUACAGUAAUGGUAAAGAGCCAAACGAACAGAGUACGUCGUUGUGACAUGAUGGACAGGAGAUCGUUGAAACUUGAAAGGGCAUGCCACUGUGGUGUCUAGCUUGGCAUCCACGGGAGCAAAAUGCUGAAAGGAUGAUUUCCAACCGCCACAGCGCGCUACCAAAACUCUGAACCAUCAGAAACAGAUGGACGGACACCUCUGCUAGCCUUCCUGAGGCUUCUCUGCGGUACUGCAGAGGAACACACACGUUUGAUCCUGGCAUCCUUUAGUUCCUAUCAAAUGUUUGACACAUACAUAAAACAUUAAAUAUAGAUAAAAAAAAUUAAUUAUACAGUUUGGUUGUAAAUCGCGAGACGAACCUUUUAAACCUAAUUAGCCUAUAAUUAACCAUAACUGCUACAGUAAUCCACAUGUAUUAAUAAUGGAUUAAUUAAACUUAAUAAAUUCGUCUCGUAGUUCUAAACAAGCUAUGUAAUUUAUUUUUUUAUUAGUUUAUACGUUUAAUACUUUAAAUAUGUGCUAACGUAUCUGUAACAGUCAAUUUUUUUUGGUUUUGAACUAAACAAGGCCCGUCCAAACACGACACACGUCCUUGAUCAUGGCAUCCUGCUAUUGAUAGUCACCCAUGUGCCAGGUGGGUUUGGACGAUGGCAAGUGAACUAGAUUAUUCAUUUUUUUCUUUUCAGUAGUCUCAUCCAGACAACUCUGUUGUCCCUAUUUAUGGAGACAAAAUAGGGAUUUUUCUGAUCUUAUUUACACUAAGGGCAUGAUCUGGCGAACUAGGGCUUAGUUCCUAGUCGAGCUAAAAAUUAGUUCCAAUUAGUUAAGAUUGGUUAGCUAGUUAUUAGAACCUCCUAUUUAAAUACACUCGAGCUAAUUUGGAUUAAUUUUUAUCUAGCAAGUGAUUCAUUAUGUAUCCAAACAAGCCCUAAAUAUGAUUGUUUCCUCAAUGUUUGUAGAACCACAUGCAGAUUUUAUUGUCAAGUGGACCAAAAGAUCUAGGGCUUUCUUAUUGUUAACUACAGAUUUUGUUCUCAAGCGGCGCAAAAGAUCUAGGCAUGACUACCGUUGCUCCUGCAUCACAGCAUCAAACGAAGUUACUGUUAGAAAUGCGGGUCUUCUCCUACGCCCUCGGCAGUUGCCGAGCUGUGCUCACUGCUCAACAGGAAGGAAUAAGAAAAUGAUUAAAGAUAAUGGAGAAAAACUUGGAAAUGUCAUAUUUAUUUUAUCUUAUUAACUACGGAAAACACCAUACUUAUAGAGAAGACAAAUGGUCGUUUUUCAAAAUUACAAGAUACUCUUGUUUAGCUACUAUAUUCCCAACAUAUUCGGAGCAAAGUGGUCUUUUACCCAAAUUCACCGACUCUGAUCUCCACUCGCCUUGCUUCUCAUGUCUCUCGUAUGAGGUGCGUUGUAAACCUUCAUGUCUUGUGAAGGUUUUAUCCCCUCAUGCUCAUAGCUACGAUAUGUUCAACAUCUUCAUGGAAAGAUAUAUUCAUCUUAAAAAUCUUCCCCAGAAUGGACAUGAGGGUUUCUCUGCAGAUCUCCACCGUACCCCAACAGUGUUCUUGUAUUUCCGUUGAAUAGAUGGAAAUAUGGUGUAUCUUCGAUUUGAAAAACAAAUCCAAAGUAGGGACCAAGAUUUAGGAGAUGAUGCUAGGAAGGCUCAAAACAAGGGCGAAAAAUAUAUGGACAGAUCCUACUUAGGGAGUAGAGACCCAGGAAGUACAAGCGAAGACCCUAUUUAGGAAUUACUUAGGGCAUCUCUAAUAGUACCAAAAAAAUCCUAAAAAUCUAGUUUCACAACAUUUCGAAUAUUUUAUUUCAAACAGAAUAUCCCCACCACCAGAAAUUUCCAAUAAUUUGCUCUAAAAAUUAAAAAAAAAACAGGUUCACUUCUGAAGAUCUUUGCUCGCUACCCAUGCCUCACAAAAUAGUGCCGAAAAAUCCAAUUCCGAUGAACCUCCCAGACGGCAGCGCCACAUCCAUAGCCGGCCGUUGUCAGCCGUCCCCGACAACCUAACUCACAGCUAGAACCUUCAAAAUAGAAUCUCCAUGACGGCGGUAGAGGGGAUAGAGUGUUGUGGAAAGAAUCAAAACUGGUAGUAAUAACUUUACCAAACUAUUGGAGAUGAUCUAUAACUAAUAAAAGCAAGAAAGUGGAAAAGGUAAAUGGGUGAUGAUAAUGCUGUCACGACCGGAAAUUUUAAUUAAUAGUAGCAAUACACGCAAAUUGAUAAUAGGGUUGAUCGUAGUAGGUACGCAUGUAAUUUUCAGCAGGAUUUCCUCCUACAAACUUUUGCUCGCAUAAUCUCCAUCGGAUCUGGACGUAGUGACAAUCUUGAGGGCUCUAAAAAAAAUUAAGUAAAUUAAUUAGUAGACAACUACAAUCUCUUGAAGUCUUGAGCAAGAAUUUUCCAGAAAAGAAAAAAAAACAUAAUAGUUGAGCAGGCAUAUCUCUCCCCUGUUGUGUUUUUCAUGCAUCGAUGAGGAUCGCUAAUUGGAGAGCCGAAUUAUGCACAGCGCGCUACGUGCGCAGGAUGAAGAAGACGCACAGCACGUGAUCAGGAUCAGGACUCAGAACUGCAGACGUGGCCAGGAAGCGGCAAAUCCAUGAUUGGGGACGCAAAAACCCAGUGGAACACCAACCGGGGGAUUUGUUGGAGACCGGUUUGGAGAUUCGGAAAGGUUGGCCGUCCGACAAUUAUUCGCUACUGGAUUCUGCCGAGCAUGUCUGAUGUUGUGCUAAGUAUUUUUUUCGAGCACUCGGCAAAGAGUGUUUUUUUACUCGACAAAUAGCUUCUUUUCUGAAUGUUUUUUUACACUCGGCGAAUAACUUAUUCAAAGUAUAUUUUAAAGCAGUAAAUUAAUUCAAAUGCAAAAAUUUUCUACUACAAAGUUGUAUGACUUCUCAAGAUCUACAACUUUUAUUUUGAUUAUUUUUUCAUUCGACAAAGCGAUAGUAACAUUGUUCACAAAAUCUACAUCUCUUUUCUAAGUUUCAUAAAACUACAAGAGAGAUAUAUAAGAUUUAUAAACAAUGUUAGAACCAUCAUGUCAAAUAAACAAAUGACCAAACAACUAAAAUAAACUUAAAAAUUUAUUAAACUUUGUAGUUGACAAUUUUUUCAUUUGAGUUCAUCUUGUUGUCAUGCAAAACUAUUUUUGAAUUUCAAAAAUUUAAAAUUUGAUUUUUUUUCAAAUGACCUCAGAUGAAAAAAUAACAUGCAUAAAAAUUAUAGAUCUCGAAAAGUAAUAAAACUUUAUAGUUGACAACUUUUUCAUUUGAGUCCAUCUUGACAUACAAAACUAUGUUUGAAUUUUAAAAUUUAAAAUUUUAUUUUUUUCAAACGACCUCGGAUGGAAAAAACAACCUAAAUGAAAAUCGUAGAUCUUGAAGCGUUAUCAGACUUUUUAAUUGAUAAUUUUUUAUUUGAAAUCAUCUUGCCAUGCAAAACUACGUUUAAAUUUCUCAAAUUUAAAAUUUAAAUUCUGUAAAAGACAUUGGAUGGAGAAACUUCCUAAAUGAAAAUUGUAGAUCUCAAAAAGUUAUGAAACUUUAUAGUUGAUAACUUUUUGAUUUGAAUUUGUUUAGAGCCUUAGACAAUCAAUUUACACUUGGUUUGGUAUAAUAUGUAGGGAACCAAAAUGGAAUAUAGUCACAAGUGAUAAUGUAGUGUAGUGGUUAGAGGAGACACGCGAGAGGGAGGUCUUGGGUUUGAAUCCCGCUUGCUAUAUAGCACGUGAACUUUGCGCGAAAAAUGUUGCGACUUGCUCAGUGUCAAAUCGGCACUCACGAGUAGGGAAUUCCCCAAUUUAAUUUUUUUCCUACUCCCUCCAUUCCAAAUUGUAAGUCAUUCCAAGAAUCGUGGAGAGUCAAAACAUUUUCAUAUCUGACCAAAAUUAUAGAGUAAAAUAUUAAGAUUUGUAAUGUAAAGUGAAUAUAGUAUGAAAAUAUAAUUAAGAAAGAAUCUAAUGAUAUUUAGGUGGUAUCAUAAUAAUUAUUAUUUUAUCAUAUAAAUUUGGUCAAACUUUGAAAAGUUUGACUCUCCAAGAUUCUUGGAAUAACUUACAAUUUGAGAUGGAGGGAAUAUUUGUUUUGGAUUUUUUUUCGAUUCAAAAUUUGUUGCGUGUUUUAUUUUGUCGAGUGUCAAACCAGCACUCGGCAAACGCUUUGCCACGUGCCCGACAAAUGACACUCGGUAAAGACGGCUUUGCCAACAACUUUUUUGUCGAGCGCCCUUUGCCGAGUGUGACACUCGGUAAAUGCACUCGGAGAAGCCUUUGUCGAGUGCAAUAUGGGACAGUGAAUCCAGUUGUGAUUAGUUUUCUUAUCCUAUCAAAAAAAUUAAUUUUAAUUUUGCACAUUACUAGAGGCAGCACGCGCAUCCUCACACCACUCUAGCCCGCCACCCGCGAUAGGGUCUGCGGUGACCACCUUCUCCCCCUCCCCCUGCCCCCUCCCGCAUGCAACAAUGACGAACUCCGGCGAGCUCCACCGAAGUUCAACUAUGGUGCCCCUGCCUCGACCUGGCCUAGCCACCACUACCGUCGCCCGCUCCCCUAAACCGCCACAACCAUCCCCGCUGCCUGGCAUACCUGUCUCACCUCGCAUUCUAUAGCCCGCCGGAUCUGAGGAAGAAGCUAGGGUGCGCCGUUGGAACCUUAGGCGCCGCUGGAGCUAGGGAAGAAGAGGGUUGGAGCGGUAGAGAGCAGAAUAGGGCUCACCGGAGUUGUGGAAGAAGAUGGGUGAGGGCGGUGGUAGGCAUGGGCAUGGCCUUUGACAGCGCGGGCAUGGGCACUGGGCGUGGCCUUCGGCGGCUCCAGGAGGCGGCACGUGGUAGACCGUCCGAUGUGCGUAGCGUACAACAUCAAGGCUGUGCGUGCCGAGCGAUGCGAGCGUGCGUGCUUCGAAACAAUCAUUUCAGUUUAAUGUUUCUCUUUGGUAAAUAUAUUUCCCUGUUAGUAAUUGCAUAAAAAAAUUCUGGUUUUCAGUAAUGAAUAAACCAUUAAAAUACAUGCGGGCAUGGCUCCACUUCACCAGUGAAGCUGUUUUUUGAGCUUCGACUCCAUGAACAACUUUAUUGGUGGAGCUGGAGCCAUUUUGGUAAAUCGUUUGGCAAAACAGCUCAUUUCUUAAAAUGUGCUCUCAUAGAAAGUCAUGUAGGAUGAGGUGAAGCCGGGAGAAGCCGCUAUUUUGACUCCUUCGCAUCCCAAAGCUCUGUGAGAGCAUGUUUUUAGGGGCUUCAUUAUGGAGUCAUUUCAUUUUAUCCCGUUUAGCAGAAAACAGCUCCAAACGGCUCCUGAACUCGCUUGAGAAACCCUACCAUACGAGGUCUUAAUGAGUGAACAUAAGAAUCUAAAGAGCUAUUGUAACCUUGACCAAAAUAGCGCUCAUUGUCUUCUGUUCAUGAUUUGGAUCGGAUACCAUGCAAAUUAUGCCAAUAUGAUGAUGUAUUUUAUUUACCACACUUUUGUCGCCUUCUGUGCUGGCCUGGUGCAGAAGUAUCACUUUCACUAGAUUCAAGUCACACAACCAAAAUUAUCAGAGAUUGCUACUGCUACUAAUUGUUGUUAAUUAUUCUUGUUAUACACUUUUGGAUGUGAAUUUUAUUAAGACGUACUGGUGGGGUCGAUCCACAGGAACGGGUGAACAUCACGCUAUCGGUAAAAAAAAAGCACCCAUUUCCAUAUGUUUUAAAAAAAUUGGAAGACAACAGACCUAAUACAAUGGUAGCCACUGGACUACUUAAAGCAACUCUAAGAGACUCCCUGUCGGUAGAAAGAUAGACCUAUUUUUUGCUAGAAAAAAUAGAAAGAACGUGGAUCUAUUAUCAUUGUAGACUACAGUCUUCUUUGGCACAGCUUCGGUUUCGAUUAACUAAUGUACUGUAGCAGUACUUCGCGGUAAAGCCUUAUUUCUCUCCAGAAGAAAAUUAAAUAGGAAGGAGGAGAAACCAGUAAAGCCAAUGUGAAGAGGCUUCACUAGCUUCUGCUACAGUUGCUGUAGUGCACGCCCUACUUAUGUGAGAAUGUGCAGGUGAACGUCAUACUAUCGGCUUCGGGCGGGGCUUUGAAAAGGCAGGUCAAAACUACAUCAAUGCGUUUGUUAGCUACGUGAUGAGAAACGGCAUAUGAAUUAUUAUUAUUAUUAUUAUUAUUAUUAUUAUUAUUAUUAUUAUUAUUAUUAUUAUUAUUAUUAUUAUUAUUAUUAUUAUUAUUAUUAUUAUUAUUAUUAUUAUUAUUAUUAUUAUUAUUAUUAUUAUUAUUAUUAUUAUUAUUAUUAUUAUUAUUAUUAUUAUUAGACGGAAAAAAUUAAGAUAUUUUAUUCAUCUAGGAAAAUAAGAGAGGUAGAGAGUAUCUUGAAUCCCAUCUUAUUAUACUCCCUCUAUUCUAAAAAAAUCAUCAUAUUUUGUUUCAAAAUAAAUCAUAUUAUGUUUGAAUACAUCCUAACUAAAACUAAAUCUAUGACCUAAUAUUAAAGAACAAAGCUAUAUUUUUAUCUAUUUCUUUUUUACUUCUCAUAAUGCCCAUCACCGGUCCCUCCUUAUUUUAUUUGGACUUAGACUCACAUCUCAUGCUUAUACGACUUAGAAUUGCAUGCUUAUUUAUGUGUUGAGUAACAAUAUGAGUUCAAUUUCAAUACUUAUAGGGACAGAUACACAAUUGUUACAUAGAUCUUUGAUCCACAAGUCGUUGCUCAGGUAACAACACGCACACGCACCGUUUGCUAGUUUAUAUAUAAGAAAUCAAUACUUCAUUUAUGAUACCAAAUAUUUUUUUUCGAACAUAUGAUACCAGAUAAUUGUCAUUACUUUAACUAUGAAAUAUACAUAUUUUCAUAGUAGUAUGUAAAUUGAUUAAAUUUAGAAUGAUUUGACCUAGGACAAACUACAAUUAAUGAAUUUUUUAAGGCGUUGAUGAAGUAAGUGCUUACCUCUCUUGGUGUCCUGUCUAUUUGUUGUAAAGUUUAAUGGUGUGGGUUGAGUUCCGCAUUGGAUAUUUGUUUCUCUAAAAAAUACCAAACAAAUAUCUUAAUUUUUUUCGCAUUGGUAUUUUUCUCUCUAAGAAUUGGAGUAUUAUAUUGUCUUUACAUAUGUUCUGGAUUCUUGUUGCAGUCCACCUAAUUCCAAACCCUAGGGGGCAUGAUUGGUUUCCACAUCCGGCCUGGCCAGGCUCGUGGGGUGUGGCGGUGGCUUGAUUGGUUAGCUAUAGGCGUUUUUUUUUUUUGGGUGAGACCCAGGCGCACACUAGACACGAGAUCGAAAUGGAAAAUCAGCCCCUCAGCUAUAACAGGCUCCCAAGGUAUGAAAUAUCUCCUUGCAGCAUGUGUUAGCACCUGUACGGCCUUUCUGCGCCAGGUGAGAGUGUAACAGUAGUACCUGUGUUUAGAUGCGCCUGGAGUAAUAUUGGGGAACAAAAACUCGAAUUUAGAUGUUAAUUAUUUGGUAGCCUCCGAUGGUGUUCCUACCCGGGAUGUUAAUUAAAGAGAGAGCCUGCCCGGCUUGUCAAGCAAAGGCUUGGUUGGAUAGUUACAACAAUCAAACAAAAGGCUGCUGCAUGCAUGCGACAAACCUCUGGCCACCGUGGCCAUGAAUCUCAGGCUAUGUUGGAAGAAAACCCUAUCACACGCUCUGUGGCCGUUUGUCUAAAAAGUCAUGUCCGAAAGUACUAUGCUACUGAAUGGCUUACUAGUAUUACUUACUAUAGUGUCUUGACUCUUUGCUUGAUGUCGAUUGAGCUUCCUUGCAAAAUGACCAACUGUACGUACGUAAGAAUCUAUAUAUAAUUCCUAUCCAUCAUCAAAAAAAUAAAGAAGAAGAUAUUUCAUAGCCUGUAGAUAGAGAAGCUUUCUGCAAUUGGUAUGUACGUCCUUUAAUUUAUACAGAUGCGAAUAAGACUGUUUGGCGCCAUUAUUCUGCCCAUCUCUACCUCCUCCGGUCCUUCGUGUCUUCCUAUACAAGCGAAGCUUUCCCGAUUUGUUGUUCCAUUGCAAGAAUUUGGAUCAGCUCUACCCUAGUAGAUACUAGAUAGUAGUUCAUACAGUAUAUAUUUCCGGUGGUUGAGCGCCGUGUUCAUGGAGGCAGAGGCAGCAAGCAACAUGGAGGACUCAAGCCUGUUCAUGCAGUGGGCGAUGGACACGCUGCUGCAGGAGGAGGAGCCUGCGGUCGACGACGUGCACUGGGCGAUGGACACGCUCCUGCAGGAGGAGGAGGAGGAGCAUGCGGCGGUCGACGGCGGCGACGCAGUAGUCUUCCCCUCGCUCCAAGCGCUCCGCGACGCCUCCCACGCGGCGGAGAUGGUGCGGGAGCUUAUGGCCGUGGCUGCCGCCGCCGAAACCCACGACGCGGCGGCGGCAAACAGCUCGCCGAGCGGUGGUUCCGGCGACGGCGGCGGCGAGGUCACGGACGGCGGCAGCAGCGGGGCCACCGGCACCGAUCCUGCAGCCCCGGCCACUACGGCGGCCACGGAUUACUACGGCGGAUCCUGGCCGCCACAGUCGCCCACCAGCUCGUCGUUCGCGCGCGCGCCACCGCCAGCACCGCCGAGCAGCAACAGCAACACCAUCCUGCCCACGGUGAGCUGGAACUUCGUCACCGGCUCGGCGCAGCCUGGCAGCGAGGGCGUGCUGGAGGAAGCCGCCGUCCCGGCACGCAGCUUGCCGCCGCCUGAGCUGGCUCAACGCCGCCGGUCACCGCCGCCGCCGAGAAGAGCGGCCCACCACCCAGUACGCAGCAUGGGAGCGCCAUCGUCGGCGUCGUGCACGCCGGACCACAUCGUCGCGGAGCGCAAGCGCCGGGAGAAGAUCAACAAGCGAUUGAUCGAGCUCUCCACCGUCAUCCCUGGCCUCAAGAAGGUCCACUCCCAUCCGUUCCAAAUGAACCAAACUCAUGCCCUUGUUCUCUGCGUCGAUCAAAUCCAUGCUAUCGAUCCUGACAAGGACAGGUUGCAGAUGGACAAGGCGACGAUCCUCUCCGACGCGGCCAAGUACGUGAAGGAGCUUCAGCAGCGGCUCAAGGCCCUGGAAGACGCUGCUGCCGCCGACGCCGGCAGCAUCAGGAGAAAAGCGCCGCCGGCGGCGGACGAGAAUGGUGGCUCCGGGUCGCCGACGUCGGCAUCCUCCUCGUCGGGGGCACCAGCACUUCCGGAGAUCGAGGCACGCUUGUCGGAGAGGAGCGUGAUGGUAAGGAUCCAUAGCUGCGGCGGCAAAGGGGUGGCGGCGGCAGCGCUCGCCGUGGUCGAGGGCCUCGGGCUCACCGUCGUCCAUGCCAAUGUCAUGCCAUUCUCGGCUUGCACUAUCAGCAUAACCAUCACAGCAGAGGCAAGUCCGUUUUCUUCUUAUUAUUCUUUUCUCCCCAUAUUUAUUUUAUUUGGAUAUUUGGACUAAUACAUUCAGCAAUCUGAUCUCUGCAUGCUUUCUGUAUUUGAAUAUAUAUAUAUAUAUAUAUAUAUAUAUAUAUAUAUAUAUAUAUAUAUAUAUAUAUAUAUAUAUAUAUAUAUAUAUAUAUAUAUAUAUAUAUAUAUAUAUAUAUAUAUAGAUGUACUAAAAAUACUAAACUUUUGAUUUGGUGUACCAAAUGCCUGAAAAUGCGCUGCUUUAGUUAGCUGGUUAGGAACACAUCUAUAAAAUGGAGGGAAAAUCGUAGACAAAACACAAUUGGCCGGUUAAGAUCAUUUCCAUAUUAAAAGCAUACAAUCCACACAUCAUUAAUGAUAUAGUCUAUGUCGUAAGAUGGUUUGACAGUGCAAACCAAAUACAUAAUGUCAAUUCAUCCUCUUUCCUGUUAAUGAAAAGUGUACCAAGACUGUAAAGAGGAUGAAUUGACAUUAUGUAAUAAUUGUUACAUAAUGUCAAUAUUCCUUCUUAUACAAAGUAAUAAUUGUGUAAGGUUCUGAGUCUGUAAACAGAGGUUUUACUAGCUGGUUGUUUUAAUAAUGCAAAGAGAACACAUAUCGUGAUUGAAAUCUUAAUUUUGGUUCUUGAUUUCAUUUCGACAUUGGUAAUACAUUGCUUUAUAUUGCUUAAUGACAAAAAUUAACAUUUGAGUCAAAUAUAUGCACACAGAGAAACUAGGUGUACUAGCCUACUAGGUACGUUUACUUCCCUUGUAUGAUAAUGUCAUGAGCACACAUUUUUAUCAGGCAUAUCAUUGUGCACUGCCAAACCAAACUGAAUGAUAUUUUCUUGUUGAAAUUGAAGGUAAGUACAUACAAAAAAAAUCAAAUCUACAUCUAUAGGAAGAUCUGAACCUCUUCCAUUUUUAAGGCUUGAUAUAUAAAACAUUUAAAUUUUUAAAGAAAACUAGAAACAAACCCUAAAAAUAUUUGUGAUAACAAGCUAGAAAAGGGUUAUUACUUGCAUUACUUAUUUUGGUGUGUGGCCGCACUACAACUCAACAAUGGUGACUAAUCAGAUAAAUGUAUAUGUCAGAUCACAUCGCAGAACAAAAACAAAAACUACUUGACUAGUUUGAUUAAACAAUAAACUUCUCAUUAAAAGGAAUACAUGGAGGCAUGCAUACCACGAUCUCAUGCUAAAACAUCAAGUUUUGAGAAAUUUUUUUGAGUCCUAGAACACAAGUUUUCUGCGACGGAGGAGUACUAUGUUUCAAUGUGCAGUAAAAUAUAUAGCAAAUGCAACUGUAUACAAAAUUAUUGACACAUAGCACAUAUUUAUGCCAUGUAUCUAGUAACUAUCCCUUUGUUACAUCCAAAAAACUUGAUGUUUAAUUUAGGAUUCAACAUUUGUCCCAAAAAUCUUGAUGUUUUAGCUCUUUGAACUAGAUUGGACCCAUAUAUAGUAGCCUGAGAUUGUGGUAUGCAUGCCUCCAUGCAUUCCUUUUAAUUAGUGACUUGAAUUUUAGCAAAGAUCACCUUCAAUAUAUAGACAUACUGGGCAAUUUCAAUUGAGCACUAAUGUAAUCUAUCCAAAAAAAUCCUAAAACAUCAACCUUUUUUAUGGAAUGGAGAUAAGGUACAAUGUAUUAGCAACUUAAUGCCACUAGAUGAGGCGAAUUCUAAUAUAGGCAGAUCAUGUUGCUUUAUUUUUCAAUAUUGUAUAGGGAUCUACUCUAAUAGAAGUGUGAACUUGUGAAUGGCUUCUUCUCUAUUUUAGAACAUGUGUGGAAAAAGUUUGUAAGACCAGUCUUGAUGGAAGUACCAUCCAAGUUUCAUCAACAUUUAAUAAGCUACCAUGUAGGUAUUUUUUAUGAUGUGGCACCAUAUUUAAGAUAGAGAAAAAUGAGUUCCCAUGGGAAAAAAAUCUAGUGAGACAGUUACAAACUUGUUGUGAGUCAUGGAAUUAAAUGUCUAUGAAACUAUAGAAUAAAACUAAUAUAAGCACUGAGAGUAGUUGUUUCAUUAUUGUAUCCUAUUUGAUGCGGUAUUUUUUUGAAAACAACGCUAUAAAACUUUCUAGACGUCAUAUCGAAGAAAGCCAUUCUAUUAUAUAUGGUCCUACUUGGAGCUGUCGGCAUUAAUUUGUUUGACUGUCGUAUUAUGUGUGCAAAUAUGUAAUAUACAUAUACCUCAGCAAACUACUCAGGCUUAUAUUAGCUUUACUUUUUGUUUCCCUUUGUCUUAUUGUGUGGUAAUAAUAUAUAUUAUUUGGUGCAAACGUCAAUUAUUCAUUUCAGAUGGAGGGCCGCCGCCUCACCUUAACAACGGAGCAGAUUGUUGGCAAGCUCAAGUCUGCAUUAUCACACCAGCGUAGCAUCAGCUGCAAAGAUGCCGAAGAGACAGAAAAUUGAUUGAAUAUAUUUAUAUACAGAAGCGCAACAGUGGAUAUAUAUAUAUAUAUAUAUAUAUAUAUAUAUAUAUAUAUAUAUAUAUAUAUAUAUAUUUGUAAAAAGUUCGUACGGUUUGAUUUUUUCUUCGAUAUAUCGUGCAGUGUGAUCCGGCAUCAUCACGUAGCUAUCUAUCUAUAGAAGCUUCCCAUGCAUGAGGGUGGAUUCUAUGAGUAUAUAGGUCCUAUAAUGCAUGCCUAUAUAAAUAUUUAUAUCCUAUAUGACUAGAUCGUCGGCAUUGGAGGAAGAUGAUCGACACUGAGCCAUAUAUAUGCAUGUCAUCACCGGAGGAGUAACUAUGGUGACUUUGCUCAUCAACCUCAUCAGCUCUAGUACAUCAGUGUCCAUCUGCAGGCGGCUAAUUAAUAUGGUGAGGUUGGCAUCAAGACAGCCUCUCUGUAGCCACAGUAUUUUCUGAUUGCAUUCAUCAGUACAAAGCAUGAUGCGAGAAGGGGGGGGGCCAGUAUAUGAAUGCCCAUGCCCACAAAGCUAAGGAUUCUAUAUAUGUAAGAGUAUUUGCAACUUGCUAUGAGCGAGCACCAACAACUCUAUGAGCAGCAACCUGCAAGUUAUUAGCUUUCAAUUCACGCAUGUUGUUUAACAGUCUCAUCUCAUGUGUGUAAAAAUAAAGCAUGUUCAUGUACCACAUACUGUACCAUGUUGUUUUUUUAAUGAUCGAUCAAUCCAUGUUUUCAUGUAUUAUUACCUGCAUAUGAAAACAAUAUAUAGCGAACUGAGCGAACCACGCUCCGUACAUGGGUUCUGAGCUAAAGAUGGCAACGGGAAAUUCCCCGUCGGAGAUCACUCCACCAUCCCCGUCCCCGCGAGACAAAUAAUUCCCCGUCCCCGUGAAUGGUCACGGGGGAUGUUUUCUUCCCAUCCCCGCUCCCCGCGGGGAAUUUACACCCGACGGAUUCCCCGUCCCCGGCUAAAUUGCAGUCACUUUAAAGCCAAUAACACAUAACAUUCGCACUUAUACAUAAGUAAUAACAAUAUUGAUUGAGGUAUACAAGUCCAUAGAAAUCGGUAGACAACGCAAUUUUGUAAAGAAAAAAAUAAUACAGAAGAGUUAAGAGUAGGAGACGCAUCAUGCUCGAAUCAAAAUCCCAGAAGUUGUAACAAAAGGAGAUAGGGAGGCCAAAUAUUUUAACAGAUCUAGAGCACGACAGUGGGAGACUAGCACCAAAUCCUCAACUAUCUAGAGCAUGACAUCAGAUCUGAAGAUUUGCUGCCUAACUGACUAGUGCCUUCUGCUGCUUGGUGUGGUUGUGCCCUCCUGGCUUCAAUUCGGAAACAGGUGAGGCUCCAAGUCUCCAACUAGGCCUACCUGCAACAGCUGCCGAGCUGCGUGCGGACGGAAGAAUCUCCGAGGCUGACGGAGACGGACAAUGGAGGCUGGAGGGUGGACCACCGACGCCUGGAGACCUGGAUAGAGGGUGGAUCUGCCGAGGCACUGAGCUGGUAGCGGCCGCCAUGCACUCUGCGCGUCGCGCGUUUGCGUCACCGCUUGUGCCGCUCGGGGCUGUGGCUGGAUGGAUAGGGGUAGAGUGGUUGGGUGGGGGUGAGAAUUAGGGUUAGCGUGUAUAUAUAUGUUGGGGCUGGUGGGCCUUGUUACAUGGGCCUUGCGCCCCUGGCUA